UACGAAGGGGGCGAGCGUUGUUCGGAUUUACUGGGCGUAAAGGGCGCGUAGGCGGCCAACUAAGUCAGACGUGAAAUCCCUCGGCUUAACCGGGGAACUGCGUCGGAUACUGGAUGGCUUGAGAUUGGGAGAGGGAUGCGGAAUUCCAGGUGUAGCGGUGAAAUGCGUAGAUAUCUGGAGGAACACCGGUGGCGAAGGCGGGUCUCUGGACAGUUCCUGACGCUGAGGCACGAAGGCCAGGGGAGCAAACGGG
rnacentral:rRNA from 1 species